UUAUAAGCAGAGGAAAAGAAACUAACAAGGAUUCCCUUAGUAAGGGCGACUGAAGAGGGAAAAGCACAAGAUGAAAAUCGGUGUGCGCACUGAAUUGUGGUCUUAAGUCUGUCGCAAUAAAGUUGGAAGAAGUCUCUUGGAAUAGAGCGGCAUAGAGGGUGACACCCCCGUUCUUCUGACUUUCUGACUGACAACGAGUCGAGUUGCUUGGGAUUGCAGCUCAAAGUGGGUGGUAAAUUCCAUCUAAUGCUAAAUAUAUAUGAGAUACCGAUAGUACACAAGUACCGUGAGGGAAAGAUGCAAAGAACUUUGAAAAGAGAGUUAAAAAGUACCUGAAAUUGCUGAAAUUAAAGAGAAAGGAACCAGUGUUAGAGGUGUCACUUUUUCCUUUAUGCUUGCAUAUAGGACGCUGUGGUAGACGUCUUGACAGACUAAGCUAAAUGAAAUUUCUUGUUAGCAGUUGAGACUAAAUGGUUUUUUUCUUCCCG
rnacentral:rRNA from 1 species